GACGGGGGGGGCAAGUGUUCUUCGGAAUUACUGGGCGUAAAGCGCACGUAGGCGGCUUUGUAAGUUAGAGGUGAAAGCCCGGGGCUCAACUCCGGAAUUGCCUUUAAGACUGCAUCGCUAGAAUUGUGGAGAGGUAAGUGGAAUUCCGAGUGUAGAGGUGAAAUUCGUAGAUAUUCGGAAGAACACCAGUGGCGAAGGCGACUUACUGGACACAUAUUGACGCUGAGGCGCGAAAGCGUGGGGAGCAAACAGG
rnacentral:rRNA from 1 species